GGCUGUAUGCCUUGGACCCACAGUGUAAGAGAGAAGCAAGUCCUGCAGGUUGUUCUCUGACUGCUGCACACAUGCUGUCACGUGCAAGUGUGUACACAUCUGCUCGGCAAUAAGUAAAUAAAUGUAAUUUUUAAGAUAAUUAAUACUGAGAACAACUCAGUAUUCCCUUCUAAAACCCACAGUUAUCUUUUGCUUUCUAAUCAAUGAAAGUGUGUGCCCCAUUUCUGUUUUCAUCUAGACCAUCAGAACCCCGCAAAGCUAGCCCUGGACUCCUGGAGCAACCAGGAUGAACACUUGGUUUUUAAAUUCUUUUCUACAGUGUUUUCCCAGUUUUCUCAUAUCCCCUAGGUUUCCUUGUCUGGACUUUUCUUGCUUGCUUGAUUUCUUUUUUUUUUUCUUUUUUUCUUUUUUUUUUUUGUUAAGUCACAACAACUUCUUUUUAAAAUUACUUUGGGAUAUAAAUAAGUUGCACACUCUAUUCGAGUGAUGAGCAGCAGAUGGCUUGUGAAUUGGACACAGCGGAGAGGAUGAGGACGCUCAGCACCAUUUGAGGAAGCACUUGGAACAGGAUAUAACGGCAGCAUUUUCCACCCAGCUUGACAUCCUGCGUCCAGAUGCAAGACUGACUGAGUAGGCACCAGCCCCGAAGCAGCUGCGAGCAGGGAGCUUGAGGUUCCGCUGUGAAGAUCUGAGUCUAGCGGCUCCCAGUGAGGCCCUCAGUUUGUCUUCAUUCUCCCCUUUCUUGACUCUCAAAUGAUCAGAAUAAAGUAUUUCACUCUGUA